rnacentral:rRNA from 1 species
UACGAAGGGGGCUAGCGUUGUUCGGAUUUACUGGGCGUAAAGCGCACGUAGGCGGGUCGUUAAGUCAGGGGUGAAAUCCCGGAGCUCAACUCCGGAACUGCCUUUGAUACUGGCGACCUUGAGGCCGGAGAGGUUAGUGGAAUUCCCAGUGUAGAGGUGAAAUUCGUAGAUAUUGGGAAGAACACCAGUGGCGAAGGCGGCUAACUGGUCCGGAGUCGUGACUGCGUGAGG